AUUGAACGCUGGCGGCGUGCUUAACACAUGCAAGUCGAGCGGUAACAGGCGUAGCAAUACGUGCUGACGAGCGGCGAACGGGUGCGUAAUACAUGGGAAUCUGCCUAGUAGUGGGGAAUAACCCGGCGAAAGCCGGGCUAAUGCCGCAUACGAUCCACGGAUGAAAGCGGGGGACCGUUCGGCCGUCGCGCUAUUAGUUG
rnacentral:rRNA from 1 species